rnacentral:misc_RNA from 1 species
AUUGAAUUAAAUUCUUGUAAAAUUCUAUAUUCUGAAUAGGGGUAUAUGGAAUCAAACAUGGGAAAAUGUUGCUAAAUCUUUACAUAUGAGAUUUGCUGGUUCCAAGCAUGUUGAUGUUACAUAAGGCAAGUUUAUCUUACCCAUAAUGUGGUGUAAGUUUUGGUGAGUGUGGUUCAUUCUUGACGAGUAUGCUUGUUAAUUGAUGGGUAUGCAUGUUAUAAACAUAUGUAAGGAAAAUUUUGUUUUCAACUUUUUGUGCAAUCAUUAGUUGUUUAUCUUUGAAUAAUGAUGAAAAACUGGUCUUAAACGGAGUUGAAUAGCAAAAAGCUAUUCAUAUAGUUGAUCCUAACUAAUUUGGAAUGAAGCUUAG